GCAACAGACAAGAAGAGAACAUUUUAAUUGGAAUGAUACAGAGAAGAUUAGCAUGGCCCCUGUGCAAGGAUGACACACAAAUUUGAAGUGUUCCAUUAAAAA